rnacentral:rRNA from 1 species
CCUACGGGGGCUGCAGUGGGGAAUAUUGGACAAUGGGCGAAAGCCUGAUCCAGCCAUGCCGCGUGUGUGAAGAAGGCCUUCGGGUUGUAAAGCACUUUCAGUGGGGAAGAAAGCCUUGGGGCUAAUACCCUCGAGGAAGGACAUCACCCACAGAAGAAGCACCGGCUAACUCCGUGCCAGCAGCCGCGGUAAUACGGAGGGUGCGAGCGUUAAUCGGAAUUACUGGGCGUAAAGCGCGCGUAGGCGGUCUGAUAAGCCGGUUGUGAAAGCCCCGGGCUCAACCUGGGAACGGCAUCCGGAACUGUCAGGCUAGAGUGCAGGAGAGGAAGGUAGAAUUCCCGGUGUAGCAGUGAAAUGCGUAGAGAUCGGGAGGAAUACCAGUGGCGAAGGCGGCCUUCUGGACUGACACUGACGCUGAGGUGCGAAAGCGUGGGUAGCAAACAGGAUUAGAUACCCGGGUAGUC